rnacentral:misc_RNA from 1 species
AAGACUAUAGACCUGCGGAGUACCUGCGGAGGGAUCAUUAAUGAAAUCAUAUUCUCCUUUGGAGUUUCUUCUAGCUGAUGCGUCUUUUGGCUGCACGCUGUUGUCACUCUUUAGGGGUUAUAUUUCCACAAACCCUUCUGUGCAUAUUGGGAGGCUUUAUUGUCCUCUCCUAAUUCAUAUACUCUAAUGUUUAAUCAUGUCAUACAAUGUUAAAUACAUUAAACAACUUUUAACAACGGA